rnacentral:rRNA from 1 species
AGUGAACGCUGGCGGUAGGCCUAACACAUGCAAGUCGAACGGCAGCACAGUAAGAGCUUGCUCUUACGGGUGGCGAGUGGCGGGCGGGUGAGGAAUACAUCGGAAUCUACUUUUUCGUGGGGGAUAACGUAGGGAAACUUACGCUAAUACCGCAUACGACCUACGGGUGAAAGCAGGGGAUCUUCGGACCUUGCGCGAUUGAAUGAGCCGAUGUCGGAUUAGCUAGUUGGCGGGGUAAAGGCCCACCAAGGCGACGAUCCGUAGCUGGUCUGAGAGGAUGAUCGGCCACACGGGAACUGAGACACGGUCCAGACUCCUACGGGAGGCAGCAGUGGGGAAUAUUGGACAAUGGGCGCAAGCCUGAUCCAGCCAUACCGCGUGGGUGAAGAAGGCCUUCGGGUUGUAAAGCCCUUUUGUUGGGAAAGAAAAGCAGCAGGUUAAUACCCCGCUGUUCUGACGGUACCCAAAGAAUAAGCACCGGCUAACUUCGUG